AUUGAACGCUGGCGGCAUGCCUUACACAUGCAAGUCGAACGGCAGCACGGGGCAACCUGGUGGCGAGUGGCGAGCGGGUGAGUAAUGCAUCGGAACGUACCUUUCAGUGGGGGAUAACGUAGCGAAAGUUACGCUAAUACCGCAUAUUCUGUGAGCAGGAUAGCAGGGGAUCGCGAGACCUUGCGCUGAUUGAGCGGCCGAUGUCAGAUUAGCUAGUUGGUGAGGUAAAGGCUCACCAAGGCGACGAUCUGUAGCGGGUCUGAGAGGAUGAUCCGCCACACUGGAACUGAGACACGGUCCAGACGCCUACGGGAGGCAGCAGUGGGGAAUUUUGGACAAUGGGGGCAACCCUGAUCCAGCCAUGCCGCGUGAGUGAAGAAGGCCUUCGGGUUGUAAAGCUCUUUCGGCCGGGAAGAAAUCGCACGGGCUAAUACCCUGUGUGGAUGACGGUACCGGAAUAAGAAGCACCGGCUAACUACGUGCCAGCAGCCGCCGUAA
rnacentral:rRNA from 1 species